UUAUUGCUAAUUCUAAUAUUCUCAUUUUGUGUUGAUUUUCAUAAUUUUUUUUAAUCUAAAAUUGCUUAAAACAUGUAAACAUUUUUCGGGGGAAUUUUUUUCUCAAAUCCGUAAACAUUUCCCGGUCGGUUUUCGAAAAAACCCGAAAUGCUCCCUGAAACUAUUUGCUCAGUGGUGCAGCACUGCUCCAAAAUCAAAGCAUUUCGUCAAGGGUUUUCACUUCAUGCCGCUGUUUAUAAAACAGGCAUACAAUCUGAUGUAUUCAUAUCCAACCAUCUUCUCAACAUGUACGCUAAGUGUGGCAAAAUUUCUUCCGCCCGCCAAAUGUUCGACGAAAUGUCUCACAGAAACCUCAUUUCUUGGUCAGCUAUGAUUUCUGGGUAUGCCCAGUUUGGGAAUCAUUUAUUAGCUCUUGAACUCUUUUCACGAAUGCAACUUGUGCCUAAUGACUACAUUUUUGCCAGUGCCUUAAGUGCUUGCGCUAGCCUUCAGGCUGUGGCGCUUGGUCGGCAAAUUCAUGCUCAAACGUUGAAGUUGGGGUAUGCUUCUGUUUGUUUUGUUUUCAAUUCAAUUAUGUCGAUGUACAUGAAAUGUGGUCGUUUUUAUGAUGCUUUGUUCUUUCUUGAUGAGGUAUUGGAACCGAAUUCUGUUUCUUACAAUGCUUUGAUUGCCGGCUUUGUGGAAAACCAAGAGUAUGAAAAAGGAUUGGAACUGUUUAAACUUAUGCACGAGCAAGGACUUGCUGCAGAUUGCUUUACUUUUGCUGGAGUGUUGGAGAGUUGCAUGAAUUUGAAUGAUUUGCAUAGGGGAAUGGUGCUGCAUUGUCAAACAGUGAAGGUUAAACUUGAUUCUUCUGCCUUUGUUGGCAAUUUGAUAAUGACAAUGUACUCAAAAUUCAAUUUGAUGGAAGAAGCGGAGAAAGUCUUUAGAAUAAUUGAAGAGAAAGAUGUUAUUUUGUGGAACACUUUUAUAGCUGGUUGCUCUCAUUGUAUGGAUCAUGAAAAGGGUUUAAGAUUUUUUAAAGAAAUGUCAAACGAAAAUAUUGUGACACCUGAUGAGUUUACUUUUGCCAGUGUUCUUGCUGCCUCUGCUGGGCUUGCUUCAAUUCACCAUGGCAAGCAGAUUCAUGGUCACCUAAUCAGGGCCAAAUUCAAUCAAGAUGUGGGACUUGGUAAUGCGCUUGUUAACAUGUAUGCUAAAUGUGGUUCAAUUGACUAUGCAUACAAGUUAUUUAACAGGAUGCCUCAUCACAAUCUUGUCACAUGGAACACCAUCAUUACUGCAUAUGGUAAUCAUGGACAGGGAGAGAUGGCCUUAGAACUUUUUGAGCAGAUGAAAGCAGUGGGGGUAAAUCCAGAUUCAGUUACCUUCACUGGACUUUUAAUGGCUUGCAAUCAUGCAGGGCUUGUAGAGAAGGGUGAAUUUUACUUCAAUUCUAUGGAAGAAAUCUAUGGGAUUGCCCCCCAAAUAGAGCAUUUCUCUUGUCUUAUAGAUGUAUUGGGACGAGCAGGGAAAUUGCAGGAAGCAGAGAAGUACAUGAAAAAAUCUCCUUUCAGCCAAGAUCCAAUAGUUUUAGGUAGCUUGCUUUCUUCAUGUUGGCUACAUGGAAAUGUUGUCAUUGGGGAACGUUUAGCUGAACAGCUAUUCAAAUUUCAACCUGUGACUACUUCGCCUUAUGUUCUUGUUGCCAACUUGUAUGCUUCAGAUGCAAUGUGGAGUGAUGUUGUGGAGGCAAGGAAGAAGUUGAAGUAUUGUGGGCUAAAGAAGGAGCCUGGCCAUAGUAUGAUUGAACUGAAGGGAAAUUUUGAAAAAUUUACGGUAGGGAACUUUUCUCAUGCAAGGAUUGAAGAAAUAAAGUUUAUGCUCAAGGUUUUAGGUUGGGCAGCAGCUGAAGUUUCUUUUAUCGAUAUACUUAGUUGAAAGAUCUUUAAAAAGCCUAAACAGAGGAUAUAUAUUUUUUGUAACAAGGAACCUCUACAUGAAUCGAAUCAUCCUUUUUGCGUCUAUUCAGAAGCUACUUUUCAACUUAGUUAGGCCUUAACUGAUCACACCAAGGAUAAAACCUCAGGUCCAAUGACCUGUUUCUCAACCAUCAUCCUAGGUAAGUUAAGAAUUGAAAUUUGAUAUGUUACCAACAAUGUUUGAACCCAUCCCCUCUUGCUUGGGUGCUCCCACCUUUACCACUUAAGCUAUGGGGGCUAGAUAUUUCGUUUCACGGAAAUGUUUGCAUUUCUGCUAGAUUUCCUGACAUGUAGUAACAUUUCUACUCAACUUUCAACUUUUCAGGCAUUACCAAAACUGAUAUACACAGAUCUUCAUGAGUGAGUAUUCACUAUAUAUCUAAGAAAUGGUGGGUAGCAUGUGCAAAGUUAUAUUUUAUUUAGGAUUGUAUAUAGUGGUAUUGAUCAGAACAUUGUUUCAUUUCUUAUGUAGAAAAAUAAAAUCAGUGAGAGCCUUGGCCGUUCCAUUUGCUAUUUGCUUAUAUAUUAUUUCAUUACAGUUACAUUGGCCUUUCUUAUUCUAAUAGAAUAAGCUGUUCUUUCUAUAGAA